rnacentral:rRNA from 1 species
AUUGAACGCUGGCGGCAGGCCUAACACAUGCAAGUCGAGCGGAUGACGGGAGCUUGCUCCUUGAUUCAGCGGCGGACGGGUGAGUAAUGCCUAGGAAUCUGCCUGGUAGUGGGGGACAACGUUUCGAAAGGAACGCUAAUACCGCAUACGUCCUACGGGAGAAAGCAGGGGACCUUCGGGCCUUGCGCUAUCAGCUGAGCCUAGGUCGGAUUAGCUAGUUGGUGAGGUAAUGGCUCACCAAGGCGACGAUCCGUAACUGGUCUGAGAGGAUGAUCAGUCACACUGGAACUGAGACACGGUCCAGACUCCUACGGGAGGCAGCAGUGGGGAAUAUUGGACAAUGGGCGAAAGCCUGAUCCAGCCAUGCCGCGUGUGUGAAGAAGGUCUUCGGAUUGUAAAGCACUUUAAGUUGGGAGGAAGGGCAGUAAGUUAAUACCUUGCUGUUUUGACGUUACCAACAGAAUAAGCACCGGCUAACUCUGUGCCAGCAGCCGCCGUAAGAC